GCCUGUUGGCCUUCCUAUAACAGGUACAUCCUGCCCAGUGAUCUCUUCAACGGCCGCGGUAUUCUGACCGUGCAAAGGUAGCAUAAUCAUUUGCCUCUUAAUUAGAGGCUAGUAUGAAUGGACAAACGUAAACCUAGCUGUCUCAAUUAUAUACAUAAAAACUAACCUUUAGGUGAAGAGGCCUAAAUCCAUUUAAAAGACAAGAAGACCCUGUCGAGCUUUAUCCCCUAUAAGAAAUCAUUCCACCUUAACCCUUCUUCAGGGAUUUUGUUGGGGCGACAAAGGAACAACCAAAACUUCCUCUCUAUAUUAGACCCCUCGUCUCUUUCAACGACCCAUAACUUUUGAUCCUAGACACUAGCUACCGCAGGGAUAACAGACUAAUUUUCCUCAAGAGCCCAAAUCUACAGGAAAGUUUGGCACCUCGAUGUUGGCUUAGGGACUCUACUAAAUGCAGCAGUUUAAUAAGAGGGUUUGUUCAACCCUUAAAUC
rnacentral:rRNA from 1 species